GACGAACGCUGGCGGCGUGCUUAACACAUGCAAGUCGAACGGAAAGGCCCUGCUUUUGUGGGGUGCUCGAGUGGCGAACGGGUGAGUAACACGUGAGUAACCUGCCCUUGACGUUGGGAUAACUUCAGGAAACUGGGGCUAAUACCGUAUAGGAGCUCCUGCUGCAUGGUGGGGGUUGGAAAGUUUCGGCGGUUGGGGAUGGACUCGCGGCUUAUCAGCUUGUUGGUGGGGUAGUGGCUUACCAAGGCUUUGACGGGUAGCCGGCCUGAGAGGGUGACCGGCCACAUUGGGACUGAGAUACGGCCCAGACUCCUACGGGAGGCGGCAGUGGGGAAUAUUGCACAAUGGGCGGAAGCCUGAUGCAGCAACGCCGCGUGCGGGAUGACGGCCUUCGGGUUGUAAACCGCUUUCGCCUGUGACGAAGCGUGAGUGACGGUAAUGGGUAAAGAAGCACCGGCUAACUACGUG
rnacentral:rRNA from 1 species